rnacentral:lncRNA from 1 species
AUGGGAAUGCUGAUGAAGCAGCUACACCAACUCCUUGCACCAGCAGCAGGUUCCUCACAGGAAAGGAGGCACCAGGAGGGGGCAGCUGCACGACAGAGCCCUCCCAAAGCAAUAUGGGGGUGUGGGUGCAAAGGCUCCCAGAAGCCAGGGUGGGAGAUGGCAGCUCCUCCUCCCAGGCAGGGUGUGGCACGCAGUGUCCCAGAGCUGGGUCGUGCCCUGCCCUCCUGGCCGGGCACACGGGGGAUUUGGUGCCCCAGAGGGGCUGAAAGCAGAGCAAGGGCUGGUUGGGAUGGUGACAAGGGUUGCCGUGCCCUUCCCCUGGCAUCAGCCAGCAGGUCGGGGAUGGGGAGGAACAGGCUCAAGAGCCCAGGGUUCACCCUGCAAACGCCCCCUGUGACUCUGGGCAGUGCCAGGCCGGCAGCUGGCUGCUGCCAGCGAGCUGCUGCCUGUGUGCUGCAGGGCUGUGGCCCCAGGAGCUCAGCCAGCCUCUCCUCUCCUCUCCCCUCCUCAGGCAGCUGCCAGUGCCCUUCUCGUGCCUGUCCUGUGACCGCAUGCUCUCCAUGCAGGUUCCUGGCCCGUACCCCGAGACACUCCCAUAUUUGCAGCCGCUGCCCCCCAGCAAGGAGACCCGGCACAGCCAAAGGAAGUCGGUGGUCAAUGGCAGUGUCCCCCGUGUGCCUCAGAGCUGUGGGGACCAUCAGAUCAGCAGCUCCACAAUGCAGCACAUCAUCGCUUCACCACAUACAAGUGCACAGGUGCAGCGUCUCCUGGUACUGUCCAACAAGCCCAGAGUGGCCCAGCUGCUGGAUAGUGGUGGACUCAUCCCGAGGGGCCGGGAUGACCAGCUUCCUGUGGUGACCAGGGCACAGGAUGAGUCAGGUGUGGCUCUGUUAGGGCAUGGGGGUUAAGGAGGAGGUGGGACGGAUUGUCUGUUGGGUUCAGGCUGGGGGAUGAAUAGGGCUCUGUGUGCAAAGCUGGACAAUGUGGCGUGGGUAUUUUGUGUCUUGGGUAAGAAGGCGCAGAAGCAGAAUGGAGCGGGAGGACUGGCACAUGGGGCAGCUGAGCUUGGAGCUGGAGUAAGGUGGGGAAUGGCCAUGGCUAGUGUGGGACAAGAGCUUGUGUGCUGGUGGGUGGGGCCAGCCCCUGGUCCUGGGGGUCUCUGGCCAGGCAGGGGUCACUCCUGCUGGUCCCAUUCUGGGCGGGCAGAGCUGCUCCAGCCAGGGGGAAGUGGGGGCUCACCCUGCUGCUGAACCCCCAGGCCCUGCUGCCUCACGGGUUCCCUUGGCAGGUACAGUCCCCCAAAACACCUGGGCACCUGGGCUGGCCCAGCCCCACCGGACAACAACCACCCCCACCCAGCUGGACGGGACCCAGCGCCCAAGGCUCGAUCUGGGACAAUUUAUCAGAAGCCAGAGAAGCCCGCAAUGACGGCCAUCAGAAACAUGACUCUUUAGUUGUAUUAAGUUAAUAAAAACCCUAGAUCGGACCCCCCCCCCCCCCCCCCCCCCCCCCCCCCCCCCCCCCCCCCCCCCCCCCCC